UACGUAGGGGGCAAGCGUUGUCCGGAGUUACUGGGCGUAAAGGGCACGCAGGCGGUUGUGUCAGUUUGCGGGGACAGUGGGUGGCUUAACUGCCCAAGGGUCGCAAAGACGGCACGACUGGAGAGCGAGAGAGGGACCUGGAACUCCGGGUGGAGCGGUGAAAUGCGUAGAGAUCCGGAAGAACACCACUGGCGCAGGCAAGGUCCUGGCUCGUAUCUGACCGCUGAGGUGCGAAAGCUAGGGGAGCGAACGGG
rnacentral:rRNA from 1 species